UGGACGCUGAAAUACAAGUUCAACCAACCUACAGUUCUUCGCCCAAAGUAAAAGAUAGCCUCUCGACCAUGUUACGUCGGGGCCAGUCUUACCACCGAUACCUCAUGAUCGCCACCGCCCGUUUCCGGCCGUUCUCAACCGUCGGUCCCAACCAGACACUCCCCCAAUCUUACACCGUCACGCCUCCGAUCAAGCCCUGGCCCCAGCGGCUCUACCCCAAGCGCCUCGCCUCCAUGGUCACUCGCCAGCAAAAUCUCGACCUUGCCCUCCAAAUAUUCCAAUACGCUGGCCAAUUCCACCCCGGUUUUUCCCACAAUUACGACACUUACCACGCCAUCAUCCAGCGCCUCUGCCGCGCCCGUGAGUUCGAAUCCGUCGAGUCCUUGAUCUCAGAGCUUAGUCGUUCUGAGAUCAAAUGCGGCGAAAACCUUUUCAUCGACGUAAUUCGAAGUUAUGGCCUCUCGGGUCGACCUGAUUCGGCGUUAAAAACCUUCCUACGCAUCGAAGACUUCGGUGUUCAACGCUCGGUGAGGUCGUUGAACACUUUGUUAAACGCUUUGGUUCAGACCAGGCGGUAUACUUUGGUGCAUGUAUUGUUCAAGAACAGUAAAUCAAGAUUUGGGGUAGUGCCCAAUGUGUUCACUUGUAAUAUUUUGAUCAAAGCCAUGUGCAAGAAGAAUGACGUGGAAGGUGCAGUCGAGGUGCUCGAUGAAAUGCCUGCAAUGGGAAUGAUACCUAAUUUGGUUACUUACACUACGAUUUUAGGUGGGUAUGUUGCGCGGGGAGAUAUGGUUAGUGCGAGGAAGGUUUUUGGUGAGGUUUUGGAUAAAGGAUGGAUGCCCGAUGCAACUGCGUAUACAGUUUUGAUGGAUGGCUUUUGUAAGCUAGGGAGGUUGGUUGAUGCAAUCAAGGUGAUGGAUGAUAUGGAGGAGAAUGGGGUUGAGCCGAAUGAGGUUGCUUAUGGUGUCAUGAUUGACGCUUAUUGUAAAGAGAAGAAGUCAGGGGAAGCACGUAACCUGCUUGAUGAUAUGCUUGACAAGAAGUAUAUACCGAACUCGACACUUUGUUGUAAGGUGAUCGAUGUGCUGUGCGAAGAAGGGAAGGUUGAGGAUGCGUGUUUGUUGUGGAAGAAACUAUUGAAGAAGAAUGUUAUGCCGGAUAAUGUAAUAUUGAGUUCCCUUAUAUAUUGGCUUUGUAAGAAGGGGGACAUAUGGGAAGCCAGGAAGCUAUUCGAUGAGUUUGAGAAGGGUUCCAUUCCAAGUGUUUUGACGUAUAAUACACUUAUAGCGGGAAUGUGCGAGAGGGGGGAGUUGUAUGAGGCGGGGAGGUUGUGGGAUGACAUGCUGGAAAAGGGAUGUGCUCCUAAUGCUUUUACUUAUAACAUGUUGAUUAAGGGGUUUCGUAAGGUUGGCAAUGCGAAGGAGGGGAUUAGAAUCCUGGAGGAGAUGUUGGAAAAAGGAUGUUUGCCGAACAAUUCGACUUACUCUAUAUUGAUUGAUGGUCUUUAUGACUCAGGACAGGAAGAAGAAGUUGUAAAGGUUCUUUCAUUGGCCAUGUCAAGUGGAGGAGUUGAUAGUGAUUCUUGGGGCCUUUUCUUUACCGAUAUGAUUGGUAAUCUUGAUAGUGGGACAUGUGAUCUCAACAGAAUAUUAAUGGAGAGUGCUUCUUAAAACUAUACUGAAUAUAUAUGGUCACAUUCACAGAGAUGGGGUUAGGGGUGGAUCAAUUUGAGAUAAUGCAGGAGUUAACAAAAUCUCACAUCCAUGAUCCAACCCUAUUCCCUUCUCUCCCCAGACACUCUGAAGCAUCUCUGGUGUCUUUGCUUCUUUACAGAGACGUCCCUGAACAAGUUUGCCGUGUUAUGUGUUCCGCUUAAUGCAGAAUGAGCUGUGCUUGGUGACCAGUGUGUUUGAGUUGCCCUUGUUCGAUUCACUAUCUUGGUGUGCAUAUCUAUUAUCAGAGAGGUGAAUAGCAAGCAAGGGUUCUCAUCCAUUCACAUAUUGGAUUUAGAUCACGUUGGGGCAUGUAUAUAAGACUAUAUAAGUCAACUCUAACCCGAUCAAUUUAAUUAAACAGGUCAAGCCCCUCAACUUUAACUUGCUAAUUUUUUGUUGAGUUUAUGGGUCGUGCAAAAAAUUGACAGUCCUAAAUGUUGGGUGUCGGGUUCGGAUAGUGUCAAGGCAUGAAUAUAAGAUUAUAUAAGUCAACUCUAACUUGACCCAUCUAAUUAAAGAGGAACAUGGUUUGAUGGGAGCUGAGCUGUUGGGCCAAACGCAUCUGAGCAGGUCUAGGAAGAAGCUGGUCUUAUUAUGAACUUUCAGAAUGUUUCAGUUCUGGUGAUGGCCAGGAUAUCAGUCUCUUGGUGUGCAUGCUAGAGUCCCCAGGAAUUGAAGAAGUAGAACUCAGCUCUCAAUACCUUAGCCUCCCUGAGAAGAUUGUUAACUUGCCACUGCAGCAUUGGUGCCUACCCAAUUCAUAAUAAUUCUCCAGAACUAAGUAAAUCAACAGCUCUCUGCACUCUACAGUGCAACAUGGUUUUACAGGCAUCAGAUAUAUAGGGACACAUCAUAAGUUAGGGAGGUUUAUUUUCCAAUCAGCUAAUUUACUUUGGGAUAGCAAAGUCACCAUUUGUACAUUGUA